rnacentral:lncRNA from 1 species
AGGCUGUCUUGGUGACUUGUAAGCAACUUACUGUGAUUUGAUGUCGGACUAUCUGAAUUUCUAAUUCGAUAACGAAAGAUUUUUGGAUACAAUCAAGUACUUGUGAAGUCUGAGUGCGAGUCAAGAUGGAAUUGACCGCUCCAAGUAAAAUUGAAGAUGAUGCAUCACUAUAUUUAAAUUUAGCAAAACUUUGGCCAAAGUAGUCCUAGUGAGGAGUCACAGGAUUUUUAAGAUUGAGACACAAUGUGGACCACUCAUUCUGGGUUGACAGUUUAAUCCUUC